UUGAGCAUGGGCCUUCACUGCUGUACAAGCUCUCAGGAAGUUUGUAGCUCAACUGGAAUGCAGCCUCUUGUGUCACAACAGUUUUCUGUUUUCUGGCAAUUGAUUCCAUGUACAAACUGUUCACAGCUCCUGAAGGGGAGUAGGAAGGCAUUGACUUACAGUUUUAUCUUUCAACCACAUUUUCAACAGUAAAGUAAUUUGUUUUGUAAAUGACCUCUGGAAUCACAUUAAGAGAGACGUCGAAGGUGAAAAAUGCAUAGAGUUUAAUCAACCCAAAAACCACAAGAACAAGAUGAAGCAAAAGGUGUCA